rnacentral:rRNA from 1 species
GACGAACGCUGGCGGCGUGCUUAACACAUGCAAGUCGAACGAUGAACCCGGAGCUUGCUCCGGCGGAUUAGUGGCGAACGGGUGAGUAACACGUGAGUAACCUGCCCUUGACUCUGGGAUAACUGCGGGAAACUGUAGCUAAUACCGGAUACGACCCUCGGCGGCAUCGCCAGGGGGUGGAAAGAAUUUCGGUCAAGGAUGGACUCGCGGCCUAUCAGCUAGUUGGUGAGGUAACGGCUCACCAAGGCGACGACGGGGAGCCGGCCUGAGAGGGUGACCGGCCACAAUGGGACUGAGACCCGGCCCAGACUGCUACGGGAGGCAGCAGUGGGGAAUAUUGCACAAUGGGCGCAAGCCUGAUGCAGCAACGCCGCGUGAGGGACGACGGCCUUCGGGUUGUAAAGUACUUUCAGCGGGGAGGAAGGCGUUAAGGUUAAUAACCUUGGCGAUUGACGUUACCCGCAGAAGAAGCACCGGCUAACUCCGUGC